rnacentral:lncRNA from 1 species
GUUGGGGGGGUCAUGUCCUGCUCUCAGGAAGGGGGGGACACUCCAAUUCCCAAAUCCCCGAAAGUGACGAAAGUGAGAGAAAUCUCAAGGGCCACAUAUAAACAUUUAUUAGUUUCCCAAAUGAUUAGUCCAGGUCUUAACGAGGCCACGUUAAUCGGUUGGGUAUAAAAGGAAUUACAGCAGGAGGUACUUAAGGUCAUUACGUAAUGACUCUAAUUGUUACUUAACGACUCGACGAGAAACCGAGGGAUGGAGAAAGGAAGAGGUGGAGAAAAAGACGGAGAUAAAGAGAUCACGGAGCCUGGUUCCAGCGGCUUUUUCGGGGAAUCUUCCCAUGUUUUCUUGGGAAAAACCUUCCCAGGCAUCAUCCUUUUUUGGGAAAAACCUUCCCAGGCACCAUCUUUCUGGGGAAAAACCUUCCCAAGCUCCAUCUUUUUUUAGGAAGAACCUUCCCUGGAUCAAUCUUUCUUAGGAAGAACCUUCCCUGGAUCCAUCUUUCUUGGGAAGAACCUUCCCUGGAUCCAUCUUUCUUGGGAAGAACCUUCCCUGGAUCCAUCUUUCUUGAGGAAGAACCUUCCCUGGAUCCAUCUUUCUUGGGGAAGAACCUUCCCUGGAUCCAUCUUUCUUGGGGAAGAACCUUCCCUGGAUCCAUCUUUCUUGAGGAAAAACCUUCCCUGGAUCAAUCUUUCUGGGGAAAAACCUUCCCAGGCUCCAUCUUUCUGGGGAAAAACCUUCCCUGGAUCCAUCUUUCUUGGGAAGAACCUUCCCUGGAUCAAUCUUUCUUGGGAAGAACCUUCCCUGGAUCAAUCUUUCUUGGGAAGAACCUUCCCUGGAUCAAUCUUUCUUGGGAAGAACCUUCCCUGGAUCAAUCUUUCUUGGGAAGAACCUUCCCUGGAUCAAUCUUUCUUGGGAAGAACCUUCCCUGGAUCAAUCUUUCUUGGGAAGAACCUUCCCUGGAUCAAUCUUUCUUGGGAAGAACCUUCCCUGGAUCAAUCUUUCUUGGGAAGAACCUUCCCAGGCACCAUCUUUCUGGGGAAAAACCUUCCCAAGCUCCAUCUUUUUUGGGAAGAACCUUCCCUGGAUCAAUCUUUCUUGAGGAAAAACCUUCCCAGGCACCAUCUUCUUCUUUAUUCUCUCCAGUGGCCCUUAUUUCUCCUCAUCCCAGGGUUGUCUCCCCAAAUCCCAGCAGUUCUGUGAGCCCCAAUGAGGACUUGGGGGGGGCCUUUUCCAACCCCCCCUCGGGGUAUUUCCAGCCUGGAGCAUCCCAAUGUGUGUCCCACGGUGACUGCUGGGACCCCCCCGUGGUACAAGGAGCCAGGGGGCUUCUCCCCCAGCCAGGACCUGCCAUGUCCUCAGUGUCCCCUCCAGCAGUCCCCGGCAGGGGGGGGGGAUUAAGGCAGAGCCCCCCCUUGCUCUUAACACUCCUUGAUUCACACCAAAACCUCCUCUGGAGCCCCCCACGCUCCUCCUUUCACCCAAAAAUAACAGGAACCCCCCCAAA